UACGUAGGGGGCAAUCGUUGUCCGGAUUUAUUGGGUUUAAAGGGUGCGUAGGCGGCUUUGUAAGUCAGUGGUGAAAUAUGGCAGCUCAACUGUCAGGGUGCCAUUGAUACUGCGGAGCUUGAGUACAGAUGAGGUAGGCGGAAUUGACGGUGUAGCGGUGAAAUGCUUAGAUAUCGUCAAGAACACCGAUAGCGAAGGCAGCUUACUGGGCUGUAACUGACGCUGAGGCACGAAAGUGUGGGGAGCAAACAGG
rnacentral:rRNA from 1 species